GACGAACCGUGCGAACGUUGUUCGGAUUCACUGGGCUUAAAGGGUGCGUAGGCGGGCUUGCAAGUCAGGGGUGAAAUCCUCCGGCUCAACCGGAGAACAGCCUUUGAUACUGCGAGCCUCGAGGAAGGUAGGGGCAUGUGGAACUUCCGGUGGAGCGGUGAAAUGCGUAGAUAUCGGAAGGAACGCCGGUGGCGAAAGCGACGUGCUGGACCUUUUCUGACGCUGAGGCACGAAAGCCAGGGGAGCAAACGGG
rnacentral:rRNA from 1 species